rnacentral:piRNA from 1 species
UAGACAACGUGAAGGGCUCCCCACUC